AGAGUUUUGAUCCUGGCUCAGGAUGAACGCUAGCUACAGGCUUAACACAUGCAAGUCGAGGGGCAGCAUGAGAGUAGCUUGCUACUUUUGAUGGCGACCGGCGAAUGGGUGAGUAACGCGUAUCCAACCUGCCGCACACCCGGGAAUAGCCCUUGGAAAUGAGGAUUAAGUCCCGAUAGGCACGGUAGUCGCAUGACUACUGUGUGAACCCAGGUAUGCGAUGGGGAUGCGUCCGAUUAGCUUGCCGGCGGGGUAACGGCCCACCGAGCCUGCGAUCAGUAGGGGUUCUGAGAGGAAGGUCCCCCACAUUGGAACUGAGACACGGUCCAAACUCC
rnacentral:rRNA from 1 species